rnacentral:rRNA from 1 species
GAUGAACGCUGGCGGCGUGCCUAAUACAUGCAAGUCGAGCGAACGGACGAGAAGCCUGCUUCUCUGAUGUUAGCGGCGGACGGGUGAGUAACACGUGGAUAACCUACCUAUAAGACUGGGAUAACUUCGGGAAACCGGAGCUAAUACCGGAUGAUAUUUUGAACCGCAUGGUUCAAAAGUGAAAGACGGUCUUGCUGUCACUUAUAGAUGGAUCCGCGCUGCAUUAGCUAGUUGGUAAGGUAACGGCUUACCAAGGCAACGAUGCAUAGCCGACCUGAGAGGGUGAUCGGCCACACUGGAACUGAGACACGGUCCAGACUCCUACGGGAGGCAGCAGUAGGGAAUCUUCCGCAAAGGGCGAAAGCCUGACGGAGCAACGCCGCGUGAGUGAUGAAGGUCUUCGGAUCGUAAAACUCUGUUAUUAGGGAAGAACAUAUGUGUAAGUAACUGUGCACAUCUUGACGGUACCUAAUCAGAAAGCCACGGCUAACUACGUG